CAAAAUGACCCAAAAAUACACCCCAAAAAUACCCUAAAAAUACCCCCAAAAAUAACCCAAAAACACCCCAAAAAAUACCUUAAAAAUAACCCCAAAAUAACCCAAAAAUAACUCAAAAUAACCCAAAAACACCCCCAAAAAUUACCCAAAAAUAGCCCCAAAAAUAACCCAAUAAUGUUUUUGGGGUCCCUCACUGUUUUUGGGGUCUCUCUGUGUGUUUUUUGGGGUUUCUCUGUAUUUUUGGGGUCCCCCAGUGUUUUUGGGGUCCCCCAGUAUUUUUGGCGUCUCUCUCUGUAUUUUUUUCGGGUCUCUCUGUAUUUUUUUGGGGUCUCUCUUUAUAAUUUUUUGGGGUCCCUCAGUGUUUUUGGGGUCCCCCAGUGUUUUUUGGGGUCUCUCUCUGUGUAUUUUUUUGGGGUCCCCCCGUGUUUUUUGGGGUCUCUCUGUAUUUUUUUGGGGUCUCUCUAUAUUUCUUUGGGGUCCCUCAGUGUUUUUGGCAUCUGUCUCUGUAUUUUUUUGGGGUCUCUCUAUAUUUUUUUGGGGUCUUUCUGUGUUUUUUGGGGUCCCCCAGUGUUUUUGGGGUCUCUGUAUUUUUUUGGGGUCUCUCUGUAUAUUUUUUUGGGGUCCCUCAGUGUUUUUUGGGGUCUCUCUCUAUAUUUUUUUGGGGACCCCCAGUGUUUUUGGGGUCUCUCUCUGUAUUUUUGGGGUCCCCCAGUGUUUUUGGGGUUUCUCUCUGUAUUUUUUUGGGGUCCCUCAGUGUUUUUUGGGGUCCCCCAGUGUUUUUUGGGGUCCCCCAGUGUUUUUGGCAUCUCUCUCUGUAUUUUUUUGGGGUCUUUCUGUGUUUUUUGGGCUCCCCCUGUGUUUUUGGGGUCCCCCCGUGUUUUUUGGGGUCUCUCUGUAUUUUUUUGGGGUCUCUCUAUAUUUCUUUGGGGUCCCUCAGUGUUUUUGGCAUCUCUCUCUGUAUUUUUUUGGGGUCUCUCUAUAUUUUUUUGGGGUCUUUCUGUGUUUUUUGGGGUCCCCCAGUG
rnacentral:lncRNA from 1 species